AUUGAACGCUGGCGGCAUGCCUUACACAUGCAAGUCGAACGGCAGCACGGGGCAACCUGGUGGCGAGUGGCGAACGGGUGUGUAAUGCAUCGGAACGUACCUUUUAGUGUGGGAUAACGUAGCGAAAGUUACGCUAAUACCGCAUAUUCUGUGAGCAGGAAAGCAGGGGAUCGCAAGACCUUGCGCUGAUUGAGCGGCCGAUGUCAGAUUAGCUAGUUGGUGAGGUAAAGGCUCACCAAGGCGACGAUCUGUAACCGAUCUGCGAGGAUGAUCAUUCCCUUGUGAAGUGAGACAUGGUCAUGACUCCUGUGUGAGGGAGCAGUCGCGUAUAUUGGAGAAUGGUCGGAAGCCUGUUCCAGGCAUGCCGCGGGUGUAAAGAAGGGUUUCGGAUUGUGAAGCACUUUAAGUCGGGAGGAAGGGCUGUAGGUUAAUACCUGGAAGCCUUGACGUUAGCGACAGAACAAGCACCGGCUAACUUCCUUCCUGAAGCCGCCGUAAUAC
rnacentral:rRNA from 1 species